AUCACUUUCUUGAGAAUACCCUAAGCGCCGCUUGCUCUCUGGCGUGCUCUCUCCAAUUUUGAGACCUGUUCAUCUUCUUCUUCCAUCAGUUUCAGAGACAAUUGUCUGUAAAAUCAUUUUCUCCCCACCUCUUCCAUCCGUUCUAACUAACGUCAAAUCCAUGUUUCGUUCAACAUCUCUCUGUUUCUCCUUCUCUUUAAACACUUUCACUGAAUCUCACAUUCAACCAAGAUCUCUAAUCUAUGUCUCUUCGCAUCUGCAAAAACUGUUCCUAUUUUUAAUCCGUUUUGAUGAUUUUAAUCCGUGGAGGUAUGUUUUCUCUCAUCCCGAUGUCGCAUCUGACUCGAUGGUGGCUCGAUCAUGGUGAUAUUUGUGUAACAGCUAAUAGAAAGACUGAGAAGAAAGCUGCAGGUUUGGUCUUUCAGUUCAUGAGAACGAGUUAAGUUGUCUUCAUGUCCGGUUCUUUUAUAUUUUUUCCGACAUAACUCAUAAGUAUGUUGUUAUGUAUGUGUCUCUGUGACUUUUUGUGGCUGCAAGUUGCGCAUUGAGGGUUUAGCAGUGUGCAGAUCGUGUAAUAUUUUUUUGUGAAGAACCCACAUUGUAUCAUGAGGGGCCCUGUAUUCACUGUCGGACGCCGAUGAUGUGAUUUAUCUAUCAAAGACCCUCUAUAUUCAGCACCCUGUAUGAAAUCAAGCAGUCUUAUGUAAGGAUAUCUUAUUUGCCCCUUUUUGAUCUCAGUUCAUAUAUAGUUUUGUUUAACAGAGAAGAGAACGUGGCGCCAGGGGUUUAGUAAUAUUAAGUUUUAUUUUUCCAUCUCGAGAAGAUUAAGGAAAUAAGGAAAAGAAAUUAGUAUUCUUCUUAGUAUCACUAGACGUGAAAAUAAUUUUUUGUGCUCACUUCACCACCACAGGUUAGUAUCGAUCUUAGCACCAACAUCUUAUGAUCAUUUGGUAUUCAUCUUAUCAUUAGACAUUAUAGACUGCAGAGUUUCUAAGUUGAUAACACUGAAACAUCAAAUGGGUGGUGCUAUAUCUCAUGUUCCAAGUGCUCCUGGAAACUGCAGCGUGGGCUUUCGUCCUUCGUGUGGGGAUCCUAUCAUGAUGUUAAAGUUGUAGGCAUUGUAAGUCGUCUCUCUCUUUAAUGACAGGUACCGGGUGGAGAUGGCAGUAUCAGAUGCAUCCGACUCUGCUCUGUUUGUGGCUUUCGAUGCUGAGAUGAACAAGCUGACCAAUGUUCCUGCUGCAUGAGUGUCUCAAGGCAUGGGCGCCGGAAUGGAGGAUGCACAUAACAUUUCCCUCCCAUAGUGCCACAGAGAUAUACUGGGGACGGCCCUUAACAUUCCUUCAGAAACUUUCAAGGUUUAAUUUCUCAUCAAAGCAUCAAUCAUUCACCAUAUUCACAUUCUUGAUCGCAUCCAGCGCUACCCCUUCCUGAUUUUGCAGAGCAGGGAGGUGAUGACAACACCGGCAAUGAUAUUCCAGGAGCUGUAUAUAAAGAUACUUCUGAAGCUCUUUAAAGAGGUGCUCCUGUCAACAACGGUGGAUCCAUUACUCAUGUCAUGGUGGAAGCCAACCCAGGAACAGCCACUUAACCUACCAAAAACCAUGUUCGCAAUGGUUAUGCUUCAGAUAAUUUGACCUAAUGAAAUGUUGCAGACUUUCACAGCUGCUUUUUGUCAUUUUCUAAAAAAAAAAACCUUAAUAAAUAUGUGUACUUCAGCUAUUUGGCUAAAAAAAAGAGCCUCCUUCAACUAUUUUAUGUGUACUUGAGCUAUUUCAUAUUUGGCUCUGUAUUUCAGAUGACUUAAAAAAGAGUCUCCUUCGACUA